rnacentral:rRNA from 1 species
UGCGUGGCGAACGGCUCAGUAACACGUAGUCAACAUGCCCAGGGGACGUGGAUAACCUCGGGAAACUGAGAUUAAACCGCGAUAGGUCAAGAUUUCUGGAAUGGAUUUUGGCUUAAAUCUACAUGGCCCCUGGAUUGGACUGCGGCCGAUCGGGCUGUUGGUGAGGUAAUGGCCCACCAAACCUAUAACCGGUACGGGCUCUGAGAGGAGAAGCCCGGAGAUGGGCACUGAGACAAGGGCCCAGGCCCUAUGGGGCGCAGCAGGCGCGAAACCUCUGCAAUGGGCGAAAGCCUGACAGGGUUACUCUGAGUGAUUUCCGCUAAGGAGAUCUUUUGGCAGCUCUAAAAAUGGUGCAGAAUAAGGGGUGGGCAAGUCUGGUGUCAGCCGCCGCGGUAAUACCAGCACCCCGAGUGGUCGGGACGAUUAUUGGGCCUAAAGCAUCCGUAGCCGGUUGUGCAAGUCCUCCGUUAAAUCCAGCCGCUCAACGGAUGGGCUGCGGAGGAUACUACAGGACUAGGAGGCGGGAGAGGCAAGCGGUACUUAGUGGGUAGGGGUAAAAUCCUUUGAUCCAUUGAAGACCACCAGUGGCGAAGGCGGCUUGCCAGAACGCGCUCGACGGUGAGGGAUGAAAGCUGGGGGAGCAAACCGGAUUAGAUACCCGGGUAGUCCCAGCUGUAAACGAUGCAGACUCGGUGAUGGGCUAGCCUCGUGUCAGCCCAGUGCCGCAGGGAAGCCGUUAAGUCUGCCGCCUGGGGAGUACGGUCGCAAGACUGAAACUUAAAGGAAUUGGCGGGGGAGCACCACAAGGGGUGAAGCCUGCGGUUCAAUUGGAUUCAACGCCAGG